rnacentral:rRNA from 1 species
GACGAACGCUGGCGGCGUGCUUAACACAUGCAAGUCGAACGGAAAGGCCCUGCUUUUGUGGGGUGCUCGAGUGGCGAACGGGUGAGUAACACGUGAGUAACCUGCCCUUGACUUUGGGAUAACUUCAGGAAACUGGGGCUAAUACCGGAUAGGAGCUCCCGCUGCAUGGAGGGGGUUGGAAAGUUUCGGCGGUUGGGGAUGGACUCGCGGCUUAUCAGCUUGUUGGUGGGGGAGUGGCUUACCAAGGCUUUGACGGGUAGCCGGCCUGGGAGGGUGACCGGCCACAUUGGGACUGAGAGACGGCGCAGACUCCUACGGGAGGCAGCAGUGGGGAAUAUUGCACAAUGGGCGGGAGCCUGAUGCAGCAACGCCGCGUGCGGGAUGACGGCCUUCGGGUUGUAAACCGCUUUCGCCUGUGACGAAGCGUGAGUGACGGUAAUGGGUAAAGAAGCACCGGCUAACUACGUG